CCCGCGGUAGCUCAGCCUGGUAGAGCUUUCGGCUGUAGACCGAAGAGUCGCAGGCUCAAAUCCUGCUCGCGGGA
rnacentral:tRNA from 3 species